UACCAGCACCCCGAGUGGUCGGGACGAUUAUUGGGCCUAAAGCCUCCGUAGCCGGUCUUGCAAGUCUUCCGUUAAAUCCAGCUGCUUAACAGAUGGGCUGCGGAAGAUACUACAAGACUAGGAGGUGGGAGAGGCAAGCGGUACUCAGUGGGUAGGGGUAAAAUCCUCUGAUCCAUUGAAGACCACCAGUGGCGAAGGCGGCUUGCCAGAACGCGCUCGACGGUGAGGGAUGAAAGCUGGGGGAGCAAACCGG
rnacentral:rRNA from 1 species